GCGAAAGUGGCUCAGUGGCAGAGCAUCGCCUUGCCAAGGCGAGGGUCGCGGGUUCGAAUCCCGUCUUUCGCUCCA
rnacentral:tRNA from 1 species